UUGGAGGCGAUGAUGCUUUGAACUACCUAUUUUAUGAGGGAAUGAAAAUCAUUCCCUUGUGAUUACAAAAUUACCAAUGGAUCCUUCUGAGCCUUACACUCUUUUCUAUUUUGUUAAUUGUGGUUGUUGUAGAGAAUAGAUUUGAAGUAGCCAUGGAUGUGAUGAUAUCCUUUUCCGAAUUAUAUAAAUGUGGACUUAUUAAAGACUACAAUUAUCUGAUUCAUG